CCAAUACACGCAUUCCCCCAUACGUUGACCCAUUUCUCUUUCUCAAAACAACGAUACGAACAGCCAUGGACUUUCUUUCUUCUCUUUUCCCUUCUUCAUCGACAAAAAUGGCAGCCAUAGGCAGCCAUGGCUUUCACCCUACGCGAACUAAUCCCAUCUUGUCAUUCCAGACCUGCGAAACCCGCUAAACUCAGGAAAAUUGGACCCGAAAUGAUGUAACAACUCGUCAUUAACGUCAAAUCCGCCACAAGUCGCCUGAAAAGGUUGAAAUCGAUGGAUUUGCUUUAGAGAUUUGAAUUCAAAAAUUCAAAUUCUCUGUUUCUCCCGCGGUUUACUUAUUUGUUGUCUCAAAUCCGGACUUUAAAGUCCGGAUUUUGGCUAUAAAUAGCCGGAUUUCCACCCCUUUGAGGACAAGGAAGAUAAAGCAGAGGAGAAGAAAAGAAUUAAGAAAAAAAUUGUGAGAAAGUAAGGAAAAACCAGUGAAGUUUGGAAAAGGGGAGAAAAGCAAGAAGCAAGAGAGAAAAAGAGGAGAAAUAAAAAAGAAAGUGAAAACGGGUCCAAAAGUUGAAAAAAAAAGAAGGAAAAAUUAGUUUUUGAAAUCUAGAAAUCCACCAACGAAGUUACUAGAAUCAUUGAUUUUUUCUGUUGAUUUUGCAACUCGAGUCUGAGUGGCCGGAAUACUUGACGAAAAGCUAUGAUUUGCUGCACAACGUAAGUUGGAGUUUCGCAAUGGAAUUUAUUUUGAUUCAACUAUCGGGUCAAUCUCUAAUAGGAUCGCAGAGCUUGGGGAUUGCAUAUACUUGAAAACUCAAGCUCGUUAGGAGUCUAGUAUUGCUUAGUUCCUUCUCUUUAUUUAGUAUAAUACUAUGUUGUUAUUUGGGUUAAAACUUGAGACGAUAAUUAGUUAUUGUUGGUUAUUGAAGCUUUAUUGCUUUACUUCGUUUAUAUUGCUU